ensembl:lncRNA
CUCCCAACGAGGAAGGAUUUCUAGCUGGAGAUCACUCCUCUCGGAGCUCCUCUGUGAGUCCAGGACAUAGAGGGAAAGAGAAAACUGUUUGGGAGUCCUGAGUCGUCUUUUCCUGCUUGUCUCUGCAGUGUGUGCUCCCUAGCUGUCUCACCUUCAACAUUAGAACUAAUGGUAGAAGCGAGAGGAAGCACCAUAAAUUUCUACCAAACACUGUAAGUAUGCUUGCUUCAUCACAUUUUUUUCCACUCUGUCAAGGCUAGUGGGGUAAGAAUCCUCAACAAGGAAAAAACUGGGGCAAAAGCACUAAAAGAAUCUGCUGGGGAAAGGUGAAAAGGAGUUGGGUAGUGUUGUCUAUAAGGGUGGAUGUAAUGAUGCCCCAAACUGCAGAUGUAUUGUCAGAUGUUGUCAGCAGUAUUUUCUUUGUGUAACCCUGCUUCAUGGUUUGAGUUGUGAGAGGCAGUCAGAAAGCUCACCUGGCUGUCUGCUCAGCAGGGAUCACAUUGAACCUCUUUUUCAGUGGAGGAAAAAAAAUGAUGAGUAUGUGAUGUCUGCUAGCAGUCAGUUUUGAUAUACAAUUUUUGCA